AGCUCCAUUAGCGUAUAUUAAAGUUGUUGCAGUUAAAAAGCUCGUAGUUGGAUUUCGGUGUGGGCCAGUCGGUCGGCCGCAAGGCUUGUUCACUGGCUGGUCUGCUCUCUCAAUCUCAAAGACUGCACGUGCUCUUCAAUGUAGUGUGUGUCAGGAUUUGGGACGUUUACUUUGAAAAAAUUAGAGUGUUCAAGGCAGGCUUUGAGGCUUGAAUACAUGAGCAUGGAAUAAUGGAAUAGGACCUCGGUCCCUAUUUCGUUGGUUUUACGGACCGAAGUAAUGAUUAAGAGGGACAAUUGGGGGCAUCCGUAUUUCGUAGUCAGAGGUGAAAUUCUUGGACCUACGAAAGACGAACAACUGCGAAAGCAUUUGCCAAGAGUGUUUUCAUUAAUCAAGAACG
rnacentral:rRNA from 1 species